GCAUGUUCACAUGAUUAAAGGUAUUCCGGUAGACGAUGGGGAUGCGUUCCAUUAGAUAGUAGGCGGGGUAACGGCCCACCUAGUCUUCGAUGGAUAGGGGUUCUGAGAGGAAGGUCCCCCACAUUGGAACUGAGACACGGUCCAAACUCCUACGGGAGGCAGCAGUGAGGAAUAUUGGUCAAUGGGCGAGAGCCUGAACCAGCCAAGUAGCGUGAAGGAUGACUGCCCUAUGGGUUGUAAACUUCUUUUAUAAAGGAAUAAAGUCGGGUAUGCAUACCCGUUUGCAUGUACUUUAUGAAUAAGGAUCGGCUAACUCCGUGCCAGCAGCCGCGGUAAUACGGAGGAUCCGAGCGUUAUCCAGAUUUAUUGGGUUUAAAGGGAGCGUAGAUGGAUGUUUAAGUCAGUUGUGAAAGUUUGCGGCUCAACCGUAAAAUUGCAGUUGAUACUGGAUAUCUUGAGUGCAGUUGAGGCAGGCGGAAUUCGUGGUGUAGCGGUGAAAUGCUUAGAUAUCACGAAGAACUCCGAUUGCGAAGGCAGCCUGCUAAGCUGCAACUGACAUUGAGGCUCGAAAGUGUGGGUAUCAAACAGGAUUAGAUACCCUGGUAGUCCACACGGUAAACGAUGAAUACUCGCUGUUUGCGAUAUACAGCAAGCG
rnacentral:rRNA from 1 species